rnacentral:lncRNA from 1 species
GGUGAACCCAGUCACAGGAUCCAUUGGUUGCUUAUGCCUUGCUGAGCCUUUUACCACUAGCUGGUUGGGGGACUGGGCAAACUGCAUUGCUCCUUUGAAUCUGCUUCCUUAAUAGUUUUAAUAGUAGAAGUCCAUGGAUUCACUGACUUUUGAGUUUGAAAACUCUUCAGUCACAAUCUGUCCCUGAGCUGCAGCUAUCCCCAGGGAUCCACUGUGAGGUUUAAUUAAGAGAGGUCUGGGACAGAAGUGUCCUUGGGCUUACUGAUAAUAACACUUGAAUCCAGUACAAGCAUUCUUGUUAUCAGUGCCAGAGACUUAACUUCCUGCUGAGUAUAGAGCCCUCACUCAGGGCUGGCACCAAAAGCCACAAAGUGCUACCUGCAUCAUAAGAGGUGCCCCUCCUUAGCCGUUCUGCUAGCCCUCAGGGAGGGUGGGGGUGACUGCUUACCUUGGCUUUCUGGAGGACAGUGCCUUUGCCUGUGACCAUGACGGAAAGAGGCCUAUUCUUGAGCGCAGUGGCAGAGUUGACUGGGGUGCAGUCUUGGGUGGGGGCGGUGGCUUUAGGCUGUGGUUACAGAAAGAAAGCAAGGGACUAGGUCAAGAGGAGGGAGACAGGACCCCUCUCUGCCCCCCAACCUGUGUCCAAGAGGCCCCACCCAGAGCUCAGAAGAGCUGCAGCUCCCACCACUCACUCGGGGCUCAUGUUGUCCAGGUGUGUAGUGUCUACUGUGGUGCCCAGUGUCACAGGUCCAGCCUCAGCCUUCUUCAAGUUGUCCUUCACCUCCAUGAUGUUGAGCUCAAGGUCCACACGCCUGCUCUCCUUGAUCCGGCAUUCCUCAUCAAUUUCCUUCAGCUUCUGCUCCAGGAUGGCCAAGAUGCCCUUGUCUGGGGAGAGAAUUAAGCUGGCUACAGACACAGCGCCUCAGACAAGGCCAGAGAGCCAGGCUGGGUGGAGGCAGGGUUUAUAUACACCCCUACCCGAGAACCCCAAGUUAACGUGGACCAUCAGUCUAGCUCUAAUAGACGGGGGAGAGCUCUGCCUUCACAGGAGGCCAUGAGUGCGAGGCCUGAGUCUCUUCUGGAGAGUUCCCAGAGGCUCUCAGUUCUGGAACCUGCUAUUGUUAUAGGAUCCAAAAGCUUAAGAACC